UCCGUAGGGCGCGCGCGUUGUCCGGAUUUCUUGGGCGUAACGAGCUCGUAGGCGGUCUGUCACGUCGGAUGUGAAAGCCCGGGGCUUAACCCCGGGUCUGCAUUCGAUACGGGCAGACUAGAGUGUGGGAGGGGAGAUCGGAAUUCCUGGUGUAGCGGUGAAAUGCGCAGAUAUCAGGAGGAACACCGGUGGCGAAGGCGGAUCUCUGGGCCAUGACUGACGCUGAGGAGCGAAAGCGUGGGGAGCGAACAGG
rnacentral:rRNA from 1 species